rnacentral:rRNA from 1 species
CCUACGGGGGGCAGCAGUGAGGAAUAUUGGUCAAUGGUCGGGAGACUGAACCAGCCAAGCCGCGUGAGGGAUGAAGGUACAGAGUAUCGUAAACCUCUUUUGUCAGGGAACAAAGGCGGGGACGUGUCCUCGGAUGAGUGUACCUGAAGAAAAAGCAUCGGCUAACUCCGUGCCAGCAGCCGCGGUAAUACGGAGGAUGCGAGCGUUAUCCGGCUUUAUUGGGUUUAAAGGGUGCGCAGGCGGUCUUUUAAGUCAGCGGUCAAAGCCCGGGGCUCAACCCCGGCCCGCCGUUGAAACUGGCAGUCUCGAGUUGGAGAGAAGUAUGCGGAAUGCGCGGUGUAGCGGUGAAAUGCAUAGAUAUCGCGCAGAACUCCGAUUGCGAAGGCAGCAUACCGGCUCCACACUGACGCUGAGGCACGAAAGCGUGGGUAUCGAACAGGAUUAGAUACCCUAGUAGUC